rnacentral:rRNA from 1 species
GACACAGGGAGGUAGUGACAAGAAAUAACAAUACGGGGCUUAAUGUCUUGUAAUUGGAAUGAUGGGAAUUUAAACCUCUUCCAGAGUAUCAAUUGGAGGGCAAGUCUGGUGCCAGCAGCCGCGGUAAUUCCAGCUCCAAUAGCGUAUAUUAAAAUUGUUGCAGUUAAAAAGCUCGUAGUUGAAUUUCNGCUGCAUUGCUUUUGCUCCUUUACGAGUCUUUGCAUUGUGGCNUAUUUCGGACUUUGUUUUACAAUGUCCGGAUGUUUACUUUGAGAAAAUUAGAGUGCUCAAAGCAGGCUUUCGCCUUGAAUAGUUUAGCAUGGAAUAAUAAAGUAGGACUUUGGUUCUAUUUUGUUGGUUUUAGGUACCAAAGUAAUGGUUAAUAGGAACAGUUGGGGGCAUUCGUAUUUAACUGUCAGAGGUGAAAUUCUUAG